AUUGAACGCUGGCGGCAUGCCUUACACAUGCAAAUCGAACGGUAACGGGCCUUCGGGUGCCGACAAGUGGCGAACGGGUGAGUAAUACAUCGGAACGUGCCCGAUCGUGGGGGAUAACGAGGCGAAAGCUUUGCUAAUACCGCAUACGAUCUACGGAUGAAAGCAGGGGACCGCAAGGCCUUGCGCGGACGGAGCGGCCGAUGGCAGAUUAGGUAGUUGGUGGGAUAAAAGCUUACCAAGCCGACGAUCUGUAGCUGGUCUGAGAGGAUGAUCAGCCACACUGGGACUGAGACACGGCCCAGACUCCUACGGGAGGCAGCAGUGGGGAAUUUUGGACAAUGGGCGCAAGCCUGAUCCAGCCAUGCCGCGUGCAGGAUGAAGGCCUUCGGGUUGUAAACUGAUUUUGUACGGAACGAAAAGCCUUCUUUUAAUACAGGAGGGUCAUGACGGUACCGUAAGAAUAAGCACCGGCUAACUACGUG
rnacentral:rRNA from 1 species